GACGAACCACACAAACGUUAUUCGGAAUUACUGGGCUUAAAGGGUGCGUAGGCGGCGCGGUAAGUAGGGUGUGAAAUCCCUCGGCUCAACCGAGGAACUGCGCUCUAAACUACCGUGCUUGAGGGAGGUAGAGGUGAGCGGAACUUAGGGUGGAGCGGUGAAAUGCGUUGAUAUCCUAAGGAACACCGGUGGCGAAAGCGGCUCACUGGAUCUCUUCUGACGCUGAGGCACGAAAGCUAGGGUAGCGAACGGG
rnacentral:rRNA from 1 species